rnacentral:lncRNA from 1 species
GAUUUCUGGAUGGUCCUUAAAAAGCUCCUCAGGGCCUUCCUCUGGUUUGGAGAGUGGGCCAGGGUCACCCGGAAAGCUAAAUGCAGCCUCUGGGUGAUAAAAGCUCUGCGGGAACUGACUUCCAACUAACCACAGGGCGAGAGAUCGGCUAAUGCAACCACAAAGUGGCUGGCUGGCACUAAACCUUGCUAGCGCUUGGAGAGAGAUUCCGGGGGCGUUGCUUAGUCUCCAUCUUGGAAAUCUUUCCCUUACCAGGAGGAAAAUUCUGAUCUCCACCAGUCUGGAACUGUCGGGCACAGCCGUGUGUGAGGAAGGGGAUGAACGAGCCGUCUGUGGGUCCUCACCACCCCAAGCCCUGUGAUCUUCAGGAGAGGCUUAGCCAGCUAGCUCUAAAGCAGGCCUGCAGGAAAUAUGCUGUCCUGACCAUCAGUCUGUGCCACUUCUUCAAGACCCGGUGCAGAGGCCUUUGGUGAAAAUUCCAUAUGAUUCCUGCUGUGUCCUUCUGCAACCACUUACAACCUGGAGUAGAAUCAUCAGUGGGGUGUAAUGAAGCUAUUUUCAUGAAGACAGCUCACUUCUUGGUGAGAGUUUUAACUUCUCAAGUUAAUAAACAACACAGCUACAAAGAAGUGCUCCCAAGAACAGCCUUCUCAAUGCAUCCUGGAAGUGGAGUCCCCACCGCCUAGACUGACACCAGCGUGGAGUUCCCAAAGUAUGAGGGGUGUCUGUGCAGCAGAUACCUGAGAAGCCCAAGGCCAGAGGGAGGCUGAUGUGGGAACCUGACUGAUCCCUGACUGAUCCCUGCACUCAGAGGAGGUCUUCGGUGGCUGGAAACCAUGAGUUACGCCUUCAGAUGCCUUCUCUCAGCAUUGCCAAUAGAAAGCCAGCUCCACCUAAGAAGAAGCACUGAAGACAUUAGGUGCUGCCCAGCAGUGGGACUGCUUCUCUCAUCGUUCUUCCAUCUGCACUCACAGAAGCGUCUCAUUCCACAGUGCAAGAUACUCAACUCAACCAGCCAAAGCUAUCUUGAGCAGUUGCAGAUUCUCCUUCUCCUACCACCUCAGAG